UUACUUAGAAAGAAUAUUUCAGGAUUAGACCUGGAAUAUAAUUAUCGACCAAUAUUCUCAGAGAUUUAGUAAAAGAUAGACUUUAUACUUCAAAGGGUAGGCAGAGUUGCACCAAUUAUACGAGUGGUUAUUUCGGCCUCAAGGUGUAAGUUGCAAGCACUGGUAUUGUCAUCAAAGAAAAUUUUGGUAAAGAUAUUUGAUACUAUUAAAAGAAUAAUAAUAAUUUAUUUCAAGGAAAUUAUUCUCUAUGAAAAGCAGGAUCCUCUGAGGUUCCGAAACAUGCCUACUCAAUAUGAAAUAUAAUUUAAAUUAAUUCAUUGUGUUGAAAAAGUAGAGCGCCGAAUAUGACUGAUUUUUAGGAUAUAUUUUUGUUCGCAUUAAAGCCAGUUCUGGAGCCAAAAGGUAUCCAUAGUAUUCUAAUAAAGGCUUUACCAACAUUAUCAAAGCACUAGUCUCUGAAAUUACAUCCUGCAUCCAAACUGUACCUCUAUAACAUAGUAAUAAAUAUGAAUUUUGAGUGUAUCGUUCCUAGUAGUUACAGGGGGAUGUUUUGCACGCAGCUUGCAGGGGAGGUAUAUAAGGGUAGGCGGGCGGUGUUGACCCCAGUCUCACGCGGCGCAUCCCCAGGGUCGGUACAGCGGGACCUCCGGCGUUCAGAAUGUUGCACAUCCGAGGCGCGCUGUGUGUGGUCUGGGCUUGUGUAUUUAUGUACCAAGCUUCUGCGUACCCCUACGAGCUUGGCGAUGACCUAGAUCGUAACCUGGAUAUAAAUUAUAUUGACAUUGGGCCGCCGCCAAUGAAACUCGAGGAUC